rnacentral:rRNA from 1 species
GACGAACGCUGGCGGCGUGCUUAACACAUGCAAGUCGAACGGAAAGGCCCUGCUUUUGUGGGGUGCUCGAGUGGCGAACGGGUGAGUAACACGUGAGUAACCUGCCCUUGACUUUGGGAUAACUUCAGGAAACUGGGGCUAAUACCGGAUAGGAGCUCCUGCUGCAUGGUGGGGGUUGGAAAGUUUCGGCGGUUGGGGAUGGACUCGCGGCUUAUCAGCUUGUUGGUGGGGUAGUGGCUGACCAAGGCUUUGACGGGUAGCCGGCCUGAGAGGGUGACCGGCCACCUUGGGACUGAGAUACGGCCCAGACUCCUACGGGAGGCAGCAGUGGGGAAUAUUGCACAAUGGGCGGAAGCCUGAUGCAGCAACGCCGCGUGCGGGAUGACGGCCUUCGGGUUGUAAACCGCUUUCGCCUGUGACGAAGCGUGAGUGACGGUAAUGGGUAAAGAAGCACCGGCUAACUACGUG